GAAAAGAUUCCGGUCUCCGCAAGACCCAAUUUAGCCUGAAAAUGACACAAACGCGGCUCAGAGUUGACUAAAAACUCAGCUUUUGGCGGAAUAACUCACCGAGACGAAGUUUCUCUCUAACGCGACAAUGUGGCGGGACGCACUUUAAUCUGUUUGUCUAUAAUUAGGGUUUAAUGUCCACUGUCCCGUUUGACAGGACGUACUGAUGACUGAGGUCUCACCAGGGUGCAACACGCGUUUGUGAGGAUGUGGAGGGCUGCAGUCUGCAGCGUGAGGCAGACCAGGAGAAGGGCCAGACUCUACUCCAGCAGGCCCGAGAACCCUUCCUCCUCCUCCUCCUCCUCCUCCUCCCGGCCCCGUGCUGAGAAACAGAGGCGCAGGCGCGAGCGGGACGAGGCCGUCCUGUCCAGCGGACGCAACGAGGCUGCGGUUAAAGCAGCGAGGUGGAGCGAGAAGCCCAGGACGCCGUACACGGCUCACACUCCGCCCGGGACUAAGAAAGACACCGCCGUGCCGCUGCCGCCGGCCUACAGC